rnacentral:lncRNA from 1 species
AGGCCCCCGGCGCCGGCAUUCCGGGCGUCGAGCACAUCUUGACGGCGCGGCGCGGCCCCCACUUCCGGAAAUUAAGGGCCGCGCCUCAGGGCCUCGAAAUCCUCCGCGCCGCCUGAAGGCGAGUCCCAGCCAAACUAGGUUCAAAGGACCCAGUGGAGGGGAAGAAUGCCGGCGAGGCCUUUUCUCGGCAACUCCCCCGUCGAGGGUCCUCCGGGACUCCCGCCACGGACUGGGAGAACAUACUAUUUCAUAUCAAAUCAGAUUCUCCACGUUACCUACUCAAGUCAUAAGCGUCUGAAGAAAGUGCUCUGUAAAUUCUCAGCAGAAUAUGCUUUUAACAAUUCUUUAAAAACAAUAAAGUCAUAAUAAAAAUCAAAAAAAAAAAAAAA